UUGUCAAGGACGACGAGAUUGUACAGCUCGAGCUUGGCUACGGAAUUGUGCCGUUCCACACACGCGCCAUACUCCGUCGUCAUCACCAUCAUCGACAGCAUCAUUAACGUGACAACGGUGUUAUCAAUUAAAGCGCGUACGUUGGGCUCGGUAUCAGUGAAUAUCCUCACAAAGCGAAAUGAGUCGCAGACAGCUACGACGAAACACGUCAGAUACCACACGAGGAGGUUGAACGAGAAGACAUCGUCUGCAACGCUGCCGUCGUGAUAAAAAUGUUCGUACAGGGCAUGUAAGUCAUCGACGAGUCUCCAGCGACCAGCCGUGUAGCUUUCAUGCUCUGGGAGAAGCUCGCACGUCGAUGUCAACGACGAAAUUUGGAGGCAGGCGUUGUGGCAAGCGAUGACGUAGAGUACAGAAACCGAAAGGAUAGCGGGGAUCGUCAAGAGAUGUUCCCACAUGACGAUUAUCCAAACGAACGUGUCUUGCGUGUACAUGGAAUGUGCCACGAGACAUAGGGUUAGAAGCAGGCAAGUCACGUAAAACAGGAGAACUACACAACGACUGGCGCUGCUACGUAUCGAGGAGUACAUCGCGAACGUCUGGGACUCGUCCUGAUGAUGUAGCAGACGGUCGUGACUUGGAGAAGAGCGAACGAAAUGGUCCAUGUGAGGGUCACAAUCUUGACUGCACAGCUGCGCGGGGACUCUUUCGAGUACGUGGAGAAGAAGCAGCCAAUUUGUACGCCAAAACAUCCCAUGCACCACAAGGGAAGUUGUAGCUCAGUUGGGUACAUCGUUCAACAGCCUGAGCCAUUUGUUAUAGAUGCCGGAGUUCGAGUUCCUGUGGGUGGUACCGAAGAUGCUCUUCAAUAGUCAAAAAAGGAAUAUCAAACAUAUUGUAAGGUCGAUAGUAUGCACAUAUAAUCCUCAGCAAUAUUCACUGGCCUUGAUUUGGUAUUCUUUGCGAGAAGUGGAAUAAGGGAAAAUUGGAUUUCAAUCAUUGUA